rnacentral:tRNA from 1 species
GGUAGUGUGGCUGAGUGGUCUGAGGUGCUGGAUUAAGGCUCCAGUCUCUUUUGGGGUGUGGGUUCAAAUCCCAUCACUGCCA